rnacentral:rRNA from 1 species
AACGAACGCUGGCGGCAUGCCUAACACAUGCAAGUCGAACGAUUGCCUUCGGAUGAUAGUGGCGCACGGGUGCGUAACGCCUGGCGAUCUGCGCUUAGGUUCGGAUUUACAGCUGCAAACGGCUGCUAAUACCGGAUGAUAUCGCGAGAUCACAGAUUUGCCGCGUGAGGAUGAGCGCGCGUUUGAUUAGGUAGUUGGUGGGGUGAAGGCGUACCAAGCUGACAAUCCAUAGCUGGUAUGUGAGGAUGAUCAGACACACCGGAACUGAGACACGGCCCAGACUCCUGCGGGAGGGGGCAGUGGGGAAUAUUGGAAAACCGGGGCAAGCCUGAACCAGUAAGGGCGGGAAAGUGAUGAAGUCCCGAGAGAAGUAAAGCUCUUUUACCCGGGAAGAUAAUGACGGUACCGGGAGAAUAAGCCCCGGCUAACUCCGUG